GAAAUCUGUUCAGUCCUCACUUUUCCGGAGACGCUUAGGGAUUCGAGCUGCAUUUGAAGUUCUUUGCUAUAUGAAAGAGACAUCUAUGAAUAAAAAUAUCUUGCGUGUCCAGUCUGAAACCUUAGUUCAAGUACUCCAAAAAGUAAAAAUGGACCCCUGUUGCAAAGAAACGAUCAUUGGGAAACUUGAGUCGUAUCCUCCUGGAGGGUUAUCAGCUGCUCAGUUUCAGAUACUUUUUGAUGAGCUUGACAAACAUAAAGUUAAAGAGG